GGAGUCAGCAAAGAGAGGCUAGGAAGUUGCACUGGCAGCUGAGAAAAUAAGGGAGAAGUGACUUCAGCUGCCACUGCCCAGACUCAACAGCCUCAUAUUGCCUGACAAAUGUAGCUGGUCCUGGAUUUGGAAAAAGAUUCUGCAUGGAACUGUGUAAGAGGCUUGAUACAUCAGGCAAACUUCAGUGGAGUUAUUCUGGCCUCACACUGUUGGGCAGAUCUUUGCUUCUUUGAGGGCCUGGUCUUCACAGUCAGUUUUGGGGUGACUCCUCCAAGUAGUCUUAGUGGCUGUGAGAGAUGACCCCAGCAGUCUACAAAGCCUGAAGAUCCUUCCUAAAAAGAUGAACCCUAUGAUCUGUGCCUGUAAGUACUAAAUCAACUUUUGACAAGUUAAGAACAAUGCAGUCCCAGGGUUUGAGGAAUAGGUGGUUGCUGCCAAACCACAAUAAAUGCUUUUGUCUGGAACUCAUGGAACAGUAACAUAGCAAUGGAGGGUGUACCCUUGUCUGUUAUUCCCUCUGAGCAAAUUCUCAGAGACAUGUUACUAGGAUUCAGAUUGAUGUCAUGGAACUAGUAGAGAAACAGGCUUUCAUUUCCUUACAAAGGGAGGAAGAGACAAUGGAACUCAGCAAAACAUAUGGCCUUUUGUUUGGUUCCUGUCUGAGAGUUAUACAAGCAAAACCCAGUGCCCGUCCCCAGACAGCACUCUGAAGUGAAACUCACGUGAGAAAAUGUGCUUUACCUUUCUUCUGUUAUGAGUUGACAAAAUUGCUUUACUUCCCCUGUGUAUGUAUAAACACAACCUAUGUCUUCAACUGAUCUACAACCAGAGAGUAUGAAUCAGAAUCCAAAAAGUUCAAGGAAGUUUUGAGCUGAUGUUUUGGUUCACUGUCAGCUCUGUAGAAAAUACCUACAUAAAUAAGAAAUACUUGCAUGAGUACAAAAUAAAUAAGCCUCUUGUUUUUGUAAGAGAGGGCCUAGAAGGAUCAAGUCCAGUAACACUGUCAUGAACUACUAAUUAAGCAGUGUCCUGAAACCAUGUAGACUCUUUCCACUAUGUUUGUUAGAAACCUUCUUCAAUUUCCAGACUAGAUUUAUUAAUGACUAGUGUGUUCACAUAUCUUAUUGUGCCAAAGCUUUCUUCUAGUUUAGAUUAUACACAAAGAGAAUGUGAGCCUGAAUAUUCUGUUUCACCUGCUUUUUGUCUCUUUCAGGAGAAAAAAAAUAAGGAGCUUAAAUAUAAGGUCACCUUGUAUUCAAGGUCGAAUUGCUUCCUUCUGCAAUUCAAGGGGGGAGAGGAAGAAUAAGCAAAAGGAACAGCUGAUGAAAAAGUGCUUUAUAUUUAGGUUUGUGUAACUUAGAAUGGCCCAGCCUUUUAGCAUCAGCAUCCCUGCUCUGACAGUUGCCCUGUUAUCUUGUGUCUGGGUAAAUACAGUCAAUUUUCUUUCUUUGUGUUAUAUUUACAGAAACAAAUGUGUGCCCUCUGUUUCUGUGUUGCUAGAGUGAAAAAACCCAAACUUUUCUCAUACAACUGUUUCUUCUUCAGCCACUCAGGUGGUCCUUUUCUGAUUCAGUGUAACUUCCUGAGCAUGGGUCACCAAGCCCAAUUCCACCAGACUGGUGAUGACAACAUGAGGUAAGAGGUUUUCAGACACUGUUGUUUGUGAAGAGGACUGAUUUUCUGAGGAUGAAUUCUCAGCAAAUUCUAAGGAGGUGCCUUUACAAGGUAUCUAGUUCCAUAAAUCUCAGUCAGUCAUGAGGGAAUCUUGACCUAAGUAAAUAACUUCAGGUAGAUUAAUGCAAAUAUAUAGACCUGAACUGGCAAGGACCUGCUUCACACACAAGAAUUAGCCCCCCGGACUACUCGGGGUAGUAGCAUCUGGUGUCUUUUAUUCACACGUGCAAUAGCAUCUGUGUGUGCAUGAGGAGCACUGACUGAAGCUCUGUGAGUGACUGCCAGAGUCUUUCUAGCAUCUCUGGAAAAGGCAACUUCUCCACAAGGUGAACUGAUCUUCAGGGGCAUCUUUCCUGCACCACUCCAGUAUUCCACCAGUGGAGACUUCUGGGGAACUGGUAAGAGGAAAUAUUCAAAGUGACCUCCAGAGCAAGAUACUCCUGCUGAGAAGUUGAGUAGUUUAAGAUCUGAUUUUAAGAGGUCCUGAAUACCUUCUAGAAGUUGCUUCCUAAAGUGUCUGCACAUCAGCACCCUACAUAUUUUAAACUGAGCAUACAAAAACCCAGCACGGAUGGACACUCUUAAAUGUGGUGGCCUACGUGACUUCCUCAGAGUCACUUGGCAGUUCAAGAAUAGAAAUAGGAACACGGGGUUUCUUAUGUCUAUUGUGUCCAUUAGAACAAUACUGCUGAGAGCAACAGAGACCAAAGGCCUGGUCUUCAAAAUGUAUUACUUGAAAAGAAAACUGCAUAUUUUUUUGGAAGGUCCAAAUGUAUUUAAUUCGGCUUUGGUGCUACACCCAAAGUUUGGUUGUAAACAAGUAUGAUUUUUACCCUGGAAGCCACACAUCUGGGUUGCAGUGCCUAUAACUGUUUUCAUCAUCACAAGUAGUUACUGGCUUCAUAAUGGUCUGUGUGUGCAGAAAACAGCUUGCAAGAGGUAACCUGUGCAAACUCUUAUUUUAUCAUUUAAGAGCUUAAAAUGUCUUAUAUCACCAGGCUGCAAGAUGGCCACAGCCUUUAACUCUCUAUAUGUGACCCUGGAGUCUGAACAUUCUGCAUUUCUAGCCCUGCAGAGUUCUUCUGAUUCUGACCUGCUGUCUAUCAAAUUUCCAUGUUCUUUGUCCAGAUAGGUCAACUGUCCAAAGCAAUGAUGUACCAACUACUUUUGUGGGACAUGAGGGUGAGCUUGAGUAGAGCUCACCUACAGCUCUAAACCUUUUUGUAGCUAUACAGUAAUACAACUUGGAGAAUAAUUUCUGUACAUCGUAAAUACAGUGAUGUAAGUCUGUCAGUAUUAUCAAUACUCAAUGCCAAUAUUACCAGUACUCAAGUGAUCAAAUAAUCUCCUGUUUAAAUAACAGGUUUCUUUCUCACUGAACUGUUGGUGUAUCCUGGAGUCUUUGGUGGCUGCAUUGUGGAGACUGGAUAUAUUUGAAUUAAUUAAUAUUUAAAAUGUUAUAUGUCCCUGAUUCCAGCCUCAGUUCCACAAACCAUGGCAAUGCAGGUGAUCACAGAAAAGCCACUGGAGCAAAUAGCCACUGAAUUCCAAUAUGGACAAGGAACCACAGAAAGGGACAGGGAACUUGAAGACUUCCAGUUUGUGCACAGUUCAUACAAAGCAGGGGCUUGGGGGUACAUGGCUGCUGGCAGAAUGAGAAGGGGACAUGAACUGUACACUUGAAGGGAGUGAGGACACCUAGAUUUGUUGGGAGGAACUGGCAGAUUUCACUGCUUCUUUACCUUACAUUCUUUGGGAAGGUCAUCUAAAAAGCCUUUCUAAACUCCCAAGCAUGGAGUUAAGGUCCUUAGGGUGGAAGAGUAAAAUAUAGUGCUUUUGCUGAAAAAUUGCUGGUACUUUCUGCUCCUAAAUUGUUCCUACUCCUAGUUAGACCUGUGGCUUGCCAACUGACUUCUGACUUGUUGCUGAUUACCCCAUGUUCCCAGUUUCCUGGGCAAUUCCUUGCUCUCACGAGCAGAAAUAGGGACAGAGCCAUAGAACAGUCACUUAUUAACCACAUCACUUCAAGCAAACAGGACUGCACCCCCUGUCUGAGCAGCCCCUGGAUGUGGCAUUGUUUAAAGCUCUGCAGGUGCUCUGGUGGCCCAGGAAAGGCGGACUGGAAAGGGCAGAGACUCAGACCUUCAUCUAACAUCUGGCAUUCUUGUACACCUCUUGUAACCUCUUGGACCCCCUAGCUGGGGGUCUCUGUUGACCUGUUUCAUAAAUCAUUAAUAAUUGAUACUUCUAAAUACAUACUUUCUCUGUGUCUUCUCCAGUAGUCAGGAUUAAUUUUGCAUGGGUCUAUGCAUUUACUCUGUUCUUCAGCAGUCACAGAAAUUACUCUCUUGGCCAGAUUUAUGAAUGAUGUUCCACAUUUAUUAGAUAUUCUAUCAAGUCAAGUCUAGGGAUCUGUCCUUGUUUCUGUCUAACAGCAUUUUUCUCCUCUAAUAAACAAUGUGUUGCACUGUUUAGAUACCUGUAAUUUACACCCUUUUGUUUGUUUGUUUUUGAGUUUAAGUUCAUUAUUAACAUUUUAUAUGAAGCAAGGUAUUGAAUUGGAAAGUUAAUUGACUUUUCAACCCUGGAAUCACCCAAAGACUGGUUUACAUUCCAAAUAAAAUAUCUGGUGGGUUUCACAACAGUCUCUACCAGUGCCUAUUGCAAUGUUGCUGUUGGGAAAAAGUGAAUUUAUUAAGGCAGUAUAUUUUAAAAAUUGGCUCCAGCACCACACAGCUGGCAACAAGGAAAAAAUAAUGUAAGGCAGCAUGUAAAAAACUUGUUCUCUAGUUAGACUGUGAAUUUUCCAAUAACUGCCUCCAAUAGACCACCCUAUGACACUGAUUGCAAACAUAUAAAGCCUGAUUGUUUCUAAAGUUAUAUAAAUAAAAUGUAGACAUUGAAAUGCCAACCUCCCACUAUUUGCCUCCAACCUUUUCUUUUCAUCUCUUGCUGCUUAUUUUGCCUUUUGCUUUCCUGGUGUCUUUCCUCUCACUUUCCUUUCAGAACCCCUCUCUUUUUCUCUCAGAACUGAGCAGAGAUUUUAGCUUUAAUGGCAGAAUAGGAGCCAGCAGACAAUGAAAAGAUGCCAGGGCAGCAAAUUCUGUCAGUAGACCAAGCACCCAAGAAAAGAGCAGUGCAGGUUAUGAGUGUGUGCACACAACUUUCACAUGCCACAUGCCUGGCACCAACCUGAGAAAACCAGCGUGUCAGUAAUUUUGUAAAGCAUAAGCCCAGCUCAGGGUGUUGUGUCACUUGUAGCCAUUGGUUUUACACCUUGCUACUGUUCUGAGAUCACCUUCUAAUCUUUCAUCUCUCAUGCCUCUCUUUUAAAUAAAAACAGCUUAAUAAUCAAAGAAAAAAAAUACCUGGAGAAGUACAAUAUACAAAUUUUGGGGGUGAAAAAGCUUUCAGACUCCAGCAAGGUUUAUUGAGCCUAA